rnacentral:rRNA from 1 species
AUUGAACGCUGGCGGCAUGCCUUACACAUGCAAGUCGAACGGCAGCGCGGGAGCAAUCCUGGCGGCGAGUGGCGAACGGGUGAGUAAUACAUCGGGACGUGCCCAAUCGUGGGGGAUAACGCAGCGAAAGCUGUGCUAAUACCGCAUACGAUCUACGGAUGAAAGCAGGGGAUCGCAAGACCUUGCGCGAAUGGAGCGGCCGAUGGCAGAUUAGGUAGUUGGUGAGGUAAAGGCUCACCAAGCCUUCGAUCUGUAGCUGGUCUGAGAGGACGACCAGCCACACUGGGACUGAGACACGGCCCAGACUCCUACGGGAGGCAGCAGUGGGGAAUUUUGGACAAUGGGCGAAAGCCUGAUCCAGCCAUGCCGCGUGCAGGAUGAAGGCCUUCGGGUUGUAAACUGCUUUUGUACGGAACGAAACGGUCUUUUCUAAUAAAGAAGGCUAAUGACGGUACCGUAAGAAUAAGCACCGGCUAACUACGUG